UUUUAUGUUUUCAUUAAGUUAGAUGAAGGGUUUCUUUAGUUUUGGUUGUGCUUUUUUUGGGAGGGGGCAUUCAUUUAGGACGAUUUACUGAAGGUAUGGAUCUCGUUGUUCCCCCCCUUGUCCGCAGUACUGCAGCCAUGCCCCGAGCCCUGCCCUGCUGCUCGCUGCUGCUGGGUGACCAGCCAGGGGUUGGGGGGAGUUCCUGUCAGGUCUGCUGUUUCUUGUUGAUUUUUCAGUUUUCAGAGGAUGAGGGUUUUGAGUUCUGAUGUCUGCUGUCGCGUUGCUCAGCACUGCCUUGGUGAUGCAGUCCUGCGAGCUCCCAGUGGCUGUCCAGGAAAGCCUCUGCCGGUAUUUUCAGAUAUCAGUGCCGAGGACGUACGUCGGCUGUGUGCUGAACAGUUUCACACGGCAAACGCAGAAGAAAGCCUGGUUCUUUUUGCUGAUGACACCUGUAUAGGUGUUCCUUUCUUGUCCUGUAUGUGCCUCCUCCUGUCCCUCUUCACUACUUCACUGCCUUUUGUCCUUCUUUUAAUUAAUGGACAAAUCCUCUCUAAUAUUUAUUUAGCAAAUAUUGCUCAAUCCCUCUUCCUGUUCCACCCUGCUUCUUGUCUCCCAGCCUGCUGGCAUCUUUCUCUUUCCUUCUUUCUUCCUUCCUUCCUUCCUCUCCUUUUCCCUUUGUCCAGCACUGUGACUGUAUUUUUGUCCCUUUCAGUGUCCCUUUGCCUGUACCUGUGUGCACCUGCUGCCCAGUGCUCCUCCCUCACUGUACCCCCUUUCGGUAAGCCCCUGCUCUCCCCGAGUUCCCGGUGGUGCUGACUGCGCCGUCCCUGCCCGACCCCCAGCCGCAUCAUCGCCCAGCCCGCCUCACGGCACCGCCCUGCUGUGCUGGCCCACAUCACCGCAUAAUCACGCUGGAUCGCUGCACUUGCCCACGUUGCCCCACGCUGUGGCUAUGGCCCGCCUCCACGCCUUGGCGCAAUGCAACAUCGCGGGGGACUGCCGCUCUGCACAAUUCCACUAUUCCGCUCCCCCGCGUGUUCUCCCCCGUGUUCCUGCGCCGCACCUCCGAUCCUGAUGGGGGCCGCCAUAUUUGACAGGAAGCACAUGACAAAAAAGGGCCACCAUAUUUUCCGGAUGCAAGUGGUGGCAUGGGUGCCGCCAUAUUUGACCAGAACCACGUGGCGGCACAGGGAGCCGCCAUAUUUGCCCGGAAACAUGGCCCAGCACAGGGGCCGCCAUAUUAGACUGGAACACAGUGGGCACAUGAGAGCCAGCAGGCCGUAAAACAGCGCUGGUUCAGCCGACCACAUUGCUGCGAUCCCCCAUGCUGCCCCAUGUCCCUGCGCUGCCUCGCAUCCCCGCACUCACUCUCGACGCCACGUCCCACCGUUGGGUGCCCUCCCCGCCUCAUUGCACCGCCCCUCCGCGCCGGACCCUCUCUUCACUACAUCACACCAUCCCGCUGCCCAGGCCUGCCACACCGUGGUAGAACGGAGGCCUGCCCACCCCCAUCGCCUCGGUACUGCACGUCGCGGUGGUCUGGGAACACUGGAUCUGACCACCGAACCUCAAGGGAGCCACCAUAUUAGCAGUCUGUUGACCCCACAAAGAUGUUGCUUAGAUUCUGAAAACCCCUGCGCUGGUACCAAGCUGAAAGUUCUCUGGUGCUCCACAGCAGCCCCAUUACCCACAGGUGGGCCAAGAGCAGCUCCAGAAGCUCCAAGGGAUUCUGACAGAUGAAUUUCUGUGCCUCAGGAAAGCUGAGCCAGUUCUGAAGAUUCAUGAAUGAACUCAGUUUGUCCAGGAUGGAGUGUGCAAGGAUAAUCCCUUAGCUCAUGUGUGGACCUGGUGUGCACCAGGCCAGACACAGGACGGUCAUCCAGUGCAGUGCAGCCUCAGCUGUCCCUUUGAGCCCCAAGCUGCCAAGGGUCAGGGCUGGGAUGAGCCUUCACCUAAAACUGACUCCAAGGCUGACUGGGAAUCAAUCCAGAACAGGGCUCACACACAGAGCAAAGUCUCAAGGCCAAAGGCAAACCUCCUUCAGGUUGGAUUUGUUUUAACACUGAAUUGAAGCCAAUUUGCUCAUCCUAUAACAUCACUGCUACCAUGAAACUUUACUGAGCUACUAAGCAACUACAUUCCUAUCCUGAAAUGCAUUGCCAAAUAUUGUCGAGGACUUGCUCUGCCUCUGCCCGCUGCUCCUGGGGCUGCUCUUGGCCACGCAGCCUCAGUGGGAGCCAGCACUGGCUGCAGCCCCAGUGGGCUCCCCAGGACGAGGCCCAGCAAUUAAAAGGCCAAUUAAAGCACUGGGCAGCAGCAGAACCCUCAGCAGAGUUAUUUGGACAAACAUGGACUUGCCACAACUCCACAGCAGCAUGACUAUGAGUCUGGCUUCCAAUGCUAUGAGCGGAGUUUUAAGAACACUGCGGAGAAAAGUCAGCAAAUUACCAUCUCAUCUCACACAGCUUCCGAAUCCCAAAACAGCAGCAUAGCAGCACAAGUGGCACAGUGAACACUGUCACUCCUGUGCCUGUCAUGCAGGACCUGCGCACAUCCUGGGGGCAGACAAUUCUUGGAAGGCGCACUGGAUCCUGAGCAUAUAUUCCUGUUUCAGUAAUAAAAUCUGUGGGAGCAAUGGGGAGCGUGGGCCCGUGCUGUGCUCCACUGCUGGGCUGGCAGCUCGGUGGAUACGGCCAGGUUCUCUAUGUGAUAAUUGAUAAAAGAUUCAUGUUAAUAGUAAAAGUUUGGGGUUUGUAUAAACCAGAAUAUUAAGGUCUGAAGUGAAGUAUGGACACUAGAUAGAGGAAAAUAUAUGAUUAAAUCAUUCUGGUUUAAAUCCCCCUGUUAUUAAUAUUUGGUUUUCUAAAUAAGUUGUAUCUACUACCAGUUUACAAAAUCAGACUUCCUGAUAGUCCUAUAGAUUUUGCAAAAUCAGACUUCCUGCUUUUGUUUGAUCAAUGCUGCCUACCCACAAAGAGCAGAGUUCCUGAUUUCUGCCUGUUUUUAUCUACUAAGACCAGAUGGUUUUCUAUGAGACGGACUAUCGCCCAAAGACUUUACGAAUGUUUAUUCAACCACCACUGCUUACCCGGCAAGUUAUGACAGCAAAAAAAAAACCCCAAACAUUAUUGAUUACAACGAGAGACCACAGUAUAAGAAGAGGCUGCAAAGAAAGGUUCGAUGGAGCAUGGAGUGGGCAGCGACCCCUCACGAUCCCCAGCGCUGCUGGCUCCGUCUAUAUCAAAUAAAGCAA